rnacentral:rRNA from 1 species
CCUACGGGAGGCAGCAGUGGGGAAUAUUGCACAAUGGGGGAAACCCUGAUGCAGCGACGCCGCGUGAGUGAAGAAGUCUUUCGGUAUGUAAAGCUCUAUCAGCAGGGAAGAGAAUGACGGUACCUGAGUAAGUAGCCAUGGAAAACUACGUGCCGGCAGCCGCGGUACUACGCAGGCGGCAAGCGUUAUCCGGAUUUACUGGGUGUAAAGGGAGCGUAGACGGCGAAGAAAGUCGGAAGUGAAAGUCCGCGGCUCAACCGCGGAACUACUUUGGAACUUGUUUGCUGGAGUACAGGAGAGGUAAGCGGAAUUCGUGGUGUAGCGGUGAAAUGCGUAGAUAUUAGGAGGAACACCAGUGGCGAAGGCGGCUUACUGGACGGUAACUGACGUUGAGGCUCGAAAGCGUGGGGAGCAAACAGGAUUAGAUACCCCUGUAGUC